GACGAACGCUGGCGGCGUGCUUAACACAUGCAAGUCGAACGGAAAGGCCCUGCUUUUGUGGGGUGCUCGAGUGGCGAACGGGUGAGUAACACGUGAGUAACCUGCCCUUGACUUUGGGAUAACUUCAGGAAACUGGGGCUAAUACCGGAUAGGAGCUCCUGCUGCAUGGUGGGGGUUGGAAAGUUUCGGCGGUUGGGGAUGGACUCGCGGCUUAUCAGCUUGUUGGUGGGGUAGUGGCUUACCAAGGCUUUGACGGGUAGCCGGCCUGAGAGGGUGACCGGCCACAUUGGGAAUGAGAUACGGCCCAGACUCCUACGGGAGGCAGCAGUGGGGAAAAUUGCACAAUGGGCGGAAGCCUGAUGCAGCAACGCCGCGUGCGGAAUGACGGCCUUCGGGUUGUAAACCGCUUUCGCCUGUGACGAAGCGUGAGUGACGGUAAUGGGUAAAGAAGCACCGGCUAACUACGUG
rnacentral:rRNA from 1 species